CUUGAACAUAGCCAUGUUUUGGGGGGUCACCUAGGGGUUGACAAAACAAGAGAGCGUGUUUUGAGGAGAUUUUACUGGCCUGGAGUAAUUGCAGCUGUCAAAAACUACUGUUCGUCAUGCCCUGAAUGUCAGGUCACUGCGCCCUUUACGGCUUACCGUAGCCCUUUAGUACCCUUGCCUAUUAUUGAAGUGCCUUUUGAACGUAUUGCUAUGGAUUUUGUGGGUCCUCUGGUG